rnacentral:rRNA from 1 species
CUCAGAUUGAACGCUGGCGGCAUGCCUUACACAUGCAUGUCGAACGGCCAGCACGGGAGCUUGCUCCUGGUGGCGAGUGGCGAACGGGUGAGUAAUAUAUCGGAACGUACCCUAGAGUGGGGGAUAACGCAGCGAAAGUUGCGCUAAUACCGCAUACGAUCUACGGAUGAAAGUGGGGGAUCGCAAGACCUCAUGCUCAUGGAGCGGCCGAUAUCUGAUUAGCUAGUUGGUAGGGUAAAAGCCUACCAAGGCUUCGAUCAGUAGCUGGUCUGAGAGGACGACCAGCCACACUGGAACUGAGACACGGUCCAGACUCCUACGGGAGGCAGCAGUGGGGAAUUUUGGACAAUGGGCGCAAGCCUGAUCCAGCAAUGCCGCGUGAGUGAAGAAGGCCUUCGGGUUGUAAAGCUCUUUUGUCAGGGAAGAAACGGUGGACUCUAAUACAGAUCACUAAUGACGGUACCUGAAGAAUAAGCACCGGCUAACUACGUGCCAGCAGCCGCGGUAAUACGUAGGGUGCAAGCGUUAAUCGGAAUUACUGGGCGUAAAGCGUGCGCAGGCGGUUGUGCAAGACAGAUGUGAAAUCCCCGGGCUCAACCUGGGAAUUGCAUUUGUGACUGCACGGCUAGAGUGUGUCAGAGGGGGGUAGAAUUCCACGUGUAGCAGUGAAAUGCGUAGAGAUGUGGAGGAAUACCGAUGGCGAAGGCAGCCCCCUGGGAUAACACUGACGCUCAUGCACGAAAGCGUGGGGAGCAAACAGGAUUAGAUACCCUGGUAGUCCACGCCCUAAACGAUGUCUACUAGUUGUUGGGUCUUAAUUGACUUAGUAACGCAGCUAACGCGUGAAGUAGACCG